GUCUGCAGCCAUACCACCCUGAAUGUGCCCGAUCUCAUCUGAUCUCAGAAGCUAAGCAGGGUUGGGCCUGAUUAGUACUCGGGUGGGAGAAACUACAAUGUUGUGAGUG
rnacentral:rRNA from 1 species